GUCACGGCAUUAACUUUCCGAUAAUCCGUUCAGAACUGGAAGGUGCCAUCAGGCUUGGGAACAAGCAGGCACGGGGAACACCAGGGACUAUUACUGGGAACAGCGAGACCGGUCUCUACCAGGGGUACGCGAGGGGACAUCGGCGAAUAGGGACCGAAAACGUCCUACUACCGACGCAACAUCAGCCUGGGCAGACUGAGGUAAGUGGCUGAGCCGGGACGUAAGGUUUUGCAGAGCCUCAGAAUUGGGGAGGCGAGCAUAGGGAAGACAGUUUCUACCGAGGUGUAAGUCGUCACUCUCCGGGGAGUACUGGCUAAGGGCCACGACGCCUACAGGAGUGGAAACCGGAGCAGAGACGGGCGAGGGGGCAGAGACCGAGCGAUCAAGGUAAGGUUUUAACAUGUUUACAGUACAUGACACAUACGAGUUUUCCUCCUGCGGUUAGGAGUUUCUAACACGUAAUUAGUGGGGCUGAGUUUUUUCCGUAUCACAUAUGGACCCGAGAAACGGGUGCGCAGGGAGGACCCAGGCAGCAGCAGAAGGACUAAGACACGAUCCCCUGGUCGAAAGCACCGGGUCCUUGCGGACUUGUCGAACCUUCCUUUCAUCUUUUCCUGCGCGGCUCCAAGAGACCGACGAGCUAGUUCCCUAACAGCAGACAUUCCGUCACGGAGGGAGGUAACAAAUUUGGACACGUUUUUCGAUGGGGAUGACGCACCUGGGGAUAACCACUGCUCCUGUAAGAUUUUCAGGGGACCUCGACCAGCGUGACCGAACACCAGCUCCGCAGGACUGAAUCCGGUGGAUUCCUGUACGGUAUCACGUAUAGCGAAAAGGAGAAGGGGCACCCCGUCAUCCCACUCCUUCCCUGUGUCCAAACAAAAGGUACGCAGCAUAUUUUUAAGUGAUUGGUGAAAGCGCUCCAACACCCCUUGGCUCUUAGGGUGAUGACGGGAACUAUAUGACGCACCCCCAAUUCGCGAACAACCUGAGCAAACAGCUUGGACGUGAAAUUUGUACCCUGAUCUGAUUGUACCUGUUUAGGAAGCCUGAAAGUAGAGAAAAACUUUAUCAAAUGUUUGACUAUAACAGAGGUCCGGAGACUACGAAUAGGGAUGGCUUCCAGAAACCGAGUAGCGGUACACAUAAGGGUAAACAGGUAACAAUUUCCUGAACGGGUUUUUGGUAAGGGGCCCACAAAAUCGAUGAGAACGUGCUCAAAAGGUUCUCCUAUUGCAAGGAUCGGACGUAGGGGAGCUGGAGCGAUGGUCUGGUUCGGCUUACCCACCACCUGGCAAGCAUGACAAGACCUACAGUACCUUUUUACAUCAGCAUUAACUCCAGGCCAAACAAAAUAUGCCAGAAGUCGGGUUAACGUUUUCCUAAUCCCGAGAUGACCCGAACACGGGUGAUCGUGAGCGAGGGAUAACACAUACUCCCGAUAUAACCCGAAGACUACCACCUGGAAUACAGUAGCCCAGUCGAAAGCGGAAGCACGACAAGCCUCCAAGGAGGGAUCAUCCGCCUGUGCCACAAUCAAAGCGUCAGUGGUGGAGGGAACCUCAGGGGACACAGCAAGUUUCACAGGAACCGGGAAAUCAGGAUCAUUAUUUGUCGAGGGGGUUGGCAGAGCGGGGUCGGACAUAAAUGUAUCGGCUAAGUCGAUGUCCAUGAGCCGGUGCCGCUGGGCGCGGGUAAGCACACAAGCAGGAAACACAGUUGAGAGUUCCACCGCAACAUCAUUCUGACAUACCACGGGGUCUGGGAUGACUUCAGGAAGGGGAACAAGCUUCUC